CCUUACACAUGCAAGUCGAACGGCAGCACGGACUUCGGUCUGGUGGCGAGUGGCGAACGGGUGAGUAAUACAUCGGAACGUGCCUAGUAGUGGGGGAUAACUACUCGAAAGAGUGGCUAAUACCGCAUGAGAUCUACGGAUGAAAGCAGGGGAUCGCAAGACCUUGUGCUACUAGAGCGGCUGAUGGCAGAUUAGGUAGUUGGUGGGAUAAAAGCUUACCAAGCCGACGAUCUGUAGCUGGUCUGAGAGGACGAUCAGCCACACUGGGACUGAGACACGGCCCAGACUCCUACGGGAGGCAGCAGUGGGGAAUUUUGGACAAUGGGCGCAAGCCUGAUCCAGCAAUGCCGCGUGCAGGAUGAAGGCCUUCGGGUUGUAAACUGCUUUUGUACGGAACGAAAAGCUUUGGGCUAAUACCCUGGAGUCAUGACGGUACCGUAAGAAUAAGCACCGGCUAACUACGUGCCA
rnacentral:rRNA from 1 species